UUGCUUACAUUUUUCUAAAAUUUCAUACUGAAAUUUUAAUAAUGGCUUUUUAUUGUUUUGUUGUUGUUUUGUUUCAUGUUUUAGAGACAACUUCACCAUAUUGCCCAAGUUAGUUCCAAACUGGAAGGCCACAGUCAAGUAUGUUAGAGCUGCGUACAAGUCAGCAGCCAUUCUAGGCACCUUAGUGAGACUCCAUCUCAGGAUAGAGUGCAUGGUGUGCCAUGUCUCUGCCUAGUGUGCGCAAGGCCUCAGUCUUAAUCCUCAGUAUUAAAUUAAAAACAAGAGCAAAACCAGAGCUUGCUAAGGCACAGUGGAGCACCAUCCUGGGCAGGCUGUUUUAGUAAAUCUAUAGUCAAAGGAGCAGCACAUCUCCUGGGCAGCCAGAGCAUCCGAACACGGAGGAGUUAGAGGAGGACUUGCACCUUCUCCCUAACAGGUGAAGUUGGACUUUCCCAGUAAUGCCAAGUUUCUGUUCACUUACAGGGACAUAUUUGGAGAAGACUGUGUCAGUGUGAAAGAUGACUCUGUCCUCAGUGUCACGGUGGAUGGAAAAACAGCAAAUAUUAAUUUGGAGACUCGGGCUGUAGAAUGUGAAGAAGGAAGUGAGGAUGAUGAG
rnacentral:lncRNA from 1 species